GCAUAGGAAAUGGGGAAGUACUAAAAAAGAGAGGAGGAGCUCUUCUUGUUGGGUUAUCACAACUUUCUUGUUCCUCUCUGUUUCUCUCUUAGGAAAUGGGGAAGUACUAAAAAAGAGAGGAGGAGCUCUUCUUGUUGGGUUAUCACAACUUUCUUGUUCCUCUCUGUUUCUCUCUCUAAACAACUCUUGCCCACUUUCUCUCUCUAUAUAACACAUGCAGCUAUAUUCAUGUAUGUGAG
rnacentral:lncRNA from 1 species